AAAGUGAGAAAAUUUGGAACUAAAAUUUUUCCAAGUUUGCCAAGAUAUUAGCGAAAUCCUGUAACUAAUCAAAAGCAAUAUUUUUACACACCAUUAUUUAUGCGGCAAAAAAUGACCAUUCAGUUUUACAUUUACAAUUUACAUAUGUUCAGUCUGACAACGUUAGCAGUUAGCAGCACAUUUCCGUUGUUAGCAGUGCCAUGCAUAUCUCAAUUUUUAUAAUUUUUUGAUAGAAAAAGUGAUUUUUCUGGGCACUAUUUUAGUUUAUUCUGUUCCUUAAGACCAGUUUAAUCUGCUGAAAAUGAAUGCACACCCAGCACAUAAAGACCACUUAAAAGAAGAGACUUGGCUCGCCCCUUAUAUAAUUCUCAUGUUUGGCUAUCAUUCUGGUUUACGAGAUUGGUUUUACAUUAUCCGAUUAAAAAUUUUGUACAACAAAUCCAUGGAUGUAUACUGUUCCAAGGCAGUACAUUUACCUUUUGAUGAAUAUUACGAACAAUGCAUCAGAACUUUACAAGUAUAUCUAUAAUUUUAUUUCUUUCGGGUAAAUAUAUUUUUACUGGUAUUUAAUGUUCAUCAGUAAAUUUCAUCAUUUUUAAAUUUAAGCAGGAAACAUUUUCCCAUGAGUCUCUGAGUUAUAUUUUGCGAUGGUUCCUUAUUAUCAUGGACAAAUUCAGACCAUCUAGUUUUCUUUUUGGGUCAAUUUUUGGCUUUUGGUCACUUUUCUUUCUUUUUGGUAGAAUACCAUCUACAUUUUUUUUGGUAGAAUACUAUCUGACACCAUAAGAAAUGGUGUCAUUCUCAUACUUUUCUGCUUGUGUAGUUUCUUGUACAGAAUUUUAGUUUUCAUGGAUUCAUUUUCAUGUAUUUUUUUUCAGAUUCUUUGCCAUGAAUUGCCAUAAUUUUUCGGUUUUUGUUGGUUUAUUUUGCCUGUGUUUAAAUACAGGGUUGUUUACCACAUAUGAC